GGGUGCAAUCAUACCAGCACUAAUGCCCUUGAUCCCAUUAGAACUUCACAGUUAAAUGUUUUUGGAAGAUCGGUAGUAAGUUGAUACAUACCAGCUUUGUGAGGAAAUUUUAGGAUGUAUCCA
rnacentral:rRNA from 1 species